CAGUAGCCGCGGUAAUACGAAGGGUGCAAGCGUUACUCGGAAUUACUGGGCGUAAAGCGUGCGUAGGUGGUGGUUUAAGUCCGUUGUGAAAGCCCUGGGCUCAACCUGGGAAUUGCAGUGGAUACUGGGUCACUAGAGUGUGGUAGAGGAUAGUGGAAUUUCCGGUGUAGCAGUGAAAUGCGUAGAGAUCGGAAGGAACAUCUGUGGCGAAGGCGACUAUCUGGGUCAACACUGACACUGAGGCACGAAAGCGUGGGGAGCAAACAGGAUUAGAUACCCCCGUAGUCCCUGUCUAUUAUAC
rnacentral:rRNA from 1 species